UAUGUAUGCAGAAAGUUUUGCAACAUAUUAUGUACAACUACAUAAAAUAACAUAAAACCUAAUUUAAAAUGUUUUUAACAUUUCCUAGAGGGUUCAUCCAACUAAAAUGGCCUCAAUGGAAAUGGAACGUGAGCACACUCAAGAAGAGGAGCACACCAGGGAAUGUGCAUUCCAGGGAAUGUGGAACACACCCUGUUCCUCUCAUACAAGGCAAUGUAGCAAAGUAUUUCAGAGGAGGUGACCCCACUGUAACCCAAGAGCGAUUUGACAAGUUGUUCCUUAACGUCAUCAUUCAAGGACUGCAUCCACUUCACACUGUGAAGAGACCAGAAUACAUCGAUUUAUUCAGAGAGAUUUUACCCAGCAGGCAUUUGAUGUCCAGGAGAACAUUGGGAAGAAUGCUUGAGGAUGAGUAUAUAUCAAUGAAAAGCACACUGUCUAUGAUUUUGUCCAAACAGACACGUGUAUGUACCACAACAGAUGCAUGGUCUUCAAACAACAGAAGCUUCCUUGGAGUGACUAUCCACUGGAUAAACCAAGAAACAUUAACCAUCUGCUCUGGAGCAUUAGCCUGUCGUAGAAUUAAAUGCGCCACACAUAUGAUGUUUUGGCUGAGAUGUUGGAAAAUGUGCACAGAGAUUUCAACAUAAAAGACAAGGUGACCGUUACAACCACAGAUAAUGGUUCAAAUUUUGUGAAAGCUUUCAGUGUCUUUGCAGAAGUUCAAAGAACAAUCCCAGACAGAGAAAAGGAUGAUGAGGAAAAAGAAGAAGAUGAGCACACUGUCUUAAUACAUAUCACAGACAUUUUAAAUGACAAAGAAGAAGGCUACAGUCUCCUACCUUAUCAGCAAUGCCUGCUACACCCUCAACCUAGUAGCAACAAGAGACAUUGAGAGUGCUUUGUCACAGUCAGAGGCCUUCAAAAAAGUUCCAGGCACUAUGGAACAAGCAACAAAGAAGCACACCAGCUUCAGACAUAAUCAAAGAGAAGCUAGGCUGCCAGCUGAUAGUUCCCAGUCCAACAAGGUGGAACUCCACUUACCAUGCCUUGGAACGCUAGAAUACCUGUAUCCAGACAAAAGAACAAGAACUCCAGGAGACCUGUGAGAGGCUUCAGGUGACUCGCUUCAAAGUGGCAGAACUCAACUUCAUACAUGAGUAUGUUCAGGUAAUGGCACCUCUGGCCAAGGCCAUUGAUGUACUGCAAUCUGAUAAAAUGGCCUACACUGGAGUGUUGGUGCCAACCAUCUCAAUUCUCCUCGAUCGAAUGGAGCAUAUAAAGCAUGAGGCAAACAUACAUCACUGUAAACAAAUGAUAGAUGCAAUGGGGUGAAGCAGUGGGGUGAAGCAGAGGUUUGGAUACAUUUUUCAAGAUGCAAGGUUGCUCAUAGCCUCUGCAGCUCAGUACUCGGUUUCAGUUUAUUUCACAGUACACAACAAGUUCCUGUAAAAAAGGACUACCCAGAAGCCAUACCGGCUUAUAAAUAGGGCCCUUCAAGACACAUAAUCAGCACUAAUAACAUUAGUUAUUAGUUAUUAGAUAUUUUUAAUUAAAUCAGUGUAGUAAUUCCGCUUCCUUAUUCGUAUUAACUUUGUGAGUCUAUUUCUAAAUGUAAAAUAUUUUCCUUUAUUGUCAUUAGUUGGAUUUUUAAUGUAGCAUUUGUAAAGCUUAUUUUUUCUUUUAAUUGAUUUUAGGAUUCCCUUUGUAAGCCAAGUAUUUUGAUUGCUUGUAUGACCUUUAACAAUUUUUUCUGGUAUAGUGAUAUUAAUACUGUUGGUUAAUUCAUUAAUAAAAGCACUAUAAGAUUCUUCCAGAGUAUUCCAGCUAAAUACAGAAUCCCUUGUUUUAUGCCUAAGAUUACUAAGCAGUUUAUCUUUUGUUGUUGCCUGGUCUUAGUAUCCAGGUCUAUGAAAAGUACAAUUGGAAAAUGAUCUGUGAUAUCUGACAUAAUUACACCAGUCAAAAUGUACAUGUAUAUUUGUAAUAAUAUUAUCAAUGGUGGACUUAGUUGUUUCUGUUACUCUCGUAUAUGAGCUUAUAGUUGGAAAAAAAUUUGAAGAAUACAAACAAUUUAAGAAAUCA